rnacentral:tRNA from 1 species
GCGUCCGUAGCUCAGCGGUAGAGCACCGUCCUUAUAAGACGGGGGUCGCUGGUUCGAAUCCAGCCGGACGCA